rnacentral:rRNA from 1 species
CCCUUAGAUGUUCUGGGCUGCACGCGCGCUACACUGAUGCGAUCAACAAGUUUUUCCUAUGUCGAUAGACACGGGUAAUCUUUUGAACUCGCAUCGUGAUGGGGAUAGAUUAUUGUAAUUAUUAAUCUUCAACGAGGAAUUCCUAGUAGGUGCAAAUCAUCAGUUUGCAUCGAUUACGUCCCUGCCCUUUGUACACACCGCCCGUCGCUGCUACCGAUUGGUUGAUCUGGUGAAUUAUUCGGACUGCCGGCUGAAGGGGCUUCCUCAUCUGCCAGCGGAAAGUCUUGUUAACCCUAUCAACUAGAGGAAGCAGAAGUCGUAACA